AAAAAAUUGAGGGAUUUUUUUGUAAUUAAGCACAUAAACGAGGGAGGAACAGAAAAAAUAAAUAAAUCUAUCCUCCCGUUAUAAUCCGCCGUCCUGCUUCUCAAAGACCCAAGUCCGGAGCUCCUCUACCUCGAGUUUGGUUCCCCGAAAUAUCCCUGAUUUGGAAAGGUGAUGGAGGCUCAAGCACAUGAUGCAAUUGCAUGUGGGCCUCAUGUUAAAACCACACUUAAACUUGCGUCGGAAAUAUACACUGUUGAUGCAAGCAACGGUAGUACCAUCUCAGAGGAAUUGGUUUCUAUGAAAGAGAAAAGCAUGAGCAUAUUGAAGGAAUUCAUCACCAAACAUAAUGUUCCUAAUGAUGUCCCUGAUGACCUGGUCGAAAGCUCUUCUGAAGAUGAAGAACAAAUACCUGAGAAGUCUCAUGUUAAGUCAAAGAAAACAAAACUUACUUGAGUUUCCUUGUUAUGGGCUCAAAUUUGGUAACAUCAAUACCUAGCUUCUUUAUUUUCUAACUGCCUUGAGCAAAAUUUCAGAGGUACUAAGAGUUAGGUUGUUUUGCUAGAUGAAUUGCUACUCGUCUCUUCUAGCUUUACUUUUGUAGUUUUUAUUUCAAUAUUUGAUCAUCAGCUACUGCCUUAUGUGCUGAAA